rnacentral:rRNA from 1 species
GACGAACGCUGGCGGCGUGCUUAACACAUGCAAGUCGAACGGAAAGGCCCUGCUUUUGUGGGGUGCUCGAGUGGCGAACGGGGGAGUAACACGUGAGUAACCUGCCCUUGACUUUGGGAUAACUUCAGGAAACUGGGGCUAAUACCGGAUAGGAGCUCCUGCUGCAUGGUGGGGGUUGGAAAGUUUCGGCGGUUGGGGAUGGACUCGCGGCUUAUGAGCUUGUUGGUGGGGUAGUGGCUUACCAAGGCUUUGACGGGUAGCCGGCCUGGGAGGGUGACCGGCGACAAUACGACUGCGGGACGCCCCAGUGUCCAACGUGGGACAAUAGUGGGAAAUAUUGUCCAGUGAGCGCGCGCCUGUUGAGGCAGCGCCGCGUGCGGGAUGACGGCCUGCGGGUUGUAAACAGCUUUCGCCUGUGACGAGGCGUGUGUGACGGUAAUGGGUAAAGAAGCACCGGCUAACUACGUG